rnacentral:rRNA from 1 species
CAGUCGCCGCGGUAAUACGUAGGUGGCAAGCGUUGUCCGGAAUUAUUGGGCGUAAAGGGCUCGCAGGCGGUUUCUUAAGUCUGAUGUGAAAGCCCCCGGCUCAACCGGGGAGGGUCAUUGGAAACUGGGAAACUUGAGUGCAGAAGAGGAGAGUGGAAUUCCACGUGUAGCGGUGGAAUGCGUAGAGAUGUGGAGGAACACCAGUGGCGAAGGCGACUCUCUGGUCUGUAACUGACGCUGAGGAGCGAAAGCGUGGGGAGCGAACAGGAUUAGAUACCCCCGUAGUCCCUGUCUCUUAUAC